rnacentral:misc_RNA from 1 species
CUGGAAUUGAGUAAUUUGUGGCGAGAUUGGGAUAUGGGUGAGGUAUUUCAACUAAUAGUAAGAGAGGAAAAGGGGGCAGCAUCAAUAGGGAGUGAGGGAGAGAGUGGGUUUAAGUGAGAGAGAGAGUUUGUAUGGGGGAGGGAGAGAGAAAAAUAUAUUUUCUUAUUCUAAUUUUCAGAAAAUAAAUUAAACGGGUUCUAUUUAAAAUUUCUA